GUGCGUAAUAGCUCACUGGUCGAGUGACUCUGCGCCGAAAAUGUACCGGGGCUAAACGUAUCACCGAAGCUGCGGACUGUUCUUCGAACAGUGGUAGGAGAGCGUUCUAAGGGCUGUGAAGCCAGACCGGAAGGACUGGUGGAGCGCUUAGAAGUGAGAAUGCCGGUAUGAGUAGCGAAAGAGGGGUGAGAAUCCCCUCCACCGAAUGCCUAAGGUUUCCUGAGGAAGGCUCGUCCGCUCAGGGUUAGUCGGGACCUAAGCCGAGGCCGAAAGGCGUAGGCGAUGGACAACAGGUUGAUAUUCCUGUACCACCUCCUCACCAUUUGAGCAAUGGGGGGACGCAGGAGGAUAGGGUAAGCGCGGUAUUGGAUAUCCGCGUCCAAGCAGUUAGGC
rnacentral:rRNA from 1 species